CCCUUAGAUGUUCUGGGCCUCACGCGUGCUACACUGAGUGGAUCAGCGGGUCAGGUUGCGCGAAAGUGUUUCCUAAUCUUUAAAUCCGCUCGUGAUGGGGAUUGACGGUUGCAAUUUUCCGUCAUGAACGAGGAAUACCUUGUAAGCGCGGGUCAUCAUCCCGCGCUGAAUACGUCCCUGCCCUUUGUACACACCGCCCGUCGCUCCUACCGAUUGAGUGGUCCGGUGAGGCUUUGGGAUCUGAGCGGAAAGAGCGUUUCGCUGUUUCUGCCCGGAAAACUCAGUCGAACCUUAUCAUUUAGAGGAAGGAGAAGUCGUAACA
rnacentral:rRNA from 1 species